GUCUAGAAAACACUUCCACUAUAUAAGUCCGUUCCCUCCAGCUGCGUCUGCAUCACUGCUGAAAUCCGUGUUUUAUACGAGAAAACAAGUGAGCUGGGACUUCAGGAAUAAGCUGAUGAAGGCAACUAUUACCAUACUCCUGCUAUGCAGUCUUUGGACUCCGAGAGCAAAAGAUAUUUGUUCGUUGAGGAUAUAUGGAAACAGUCAACGAUAUACAAAGACUGGGGACGUAAUUCUGGGAGGUGUGUUCCAGUUAUUCCAGUUCUCUUAUGCAAGACCUGAAAAUCAAUUUUUUCCUUUAACCCAGCUAUGUGCUGUGCCAUCUGCCCGAUAUCUACGACAUUUCCUUGCCGUUGACUUUGCAAUCGAAGAGAUUAAUAAGGACAUGCAUAUUUUACCUAACAUCUCUUUAGGAUAUGAUAUUUUUGACUCUUGUUAUUAUGAGCAAACAGCAGUAGAGGGCACUCUAAAAAUUUUGUCUGGUGGUCAAACAUUGUAUCCCAAUUACAACUGCCGCAAAAAUAACACAGUUGUAGCAUUUAUUGGACAUCUGCUCUCUUCCUCAUCUCAAGCAAUUGCAAGAUUACUUAAUUUGUAUGGCUACCCCCAGGUAAGGAAGACGUCUAAAUAUGUAAGAUUGUGGACAUUUUGGCCAAUAUUUUUUUA